ACUCCUACGGGAGGCAGCAGUGGGAAUAUUGCACAAUGGGCGAAAGCCUGAUGCAGCGACGCCGCGUGAGGGAUGACGGCCUUCGGGUUGUAAACCUCUUUCAGUCAGGAACAAGCCACUUGUGGUGAGGGUACUGGCAGAAGAAGCACCGGCUAACUACGUGCCAGCAGCCGCGGUAAUACGUAGGGUGCGAGCGUUAUCCGGAAUUAUUGGCGUAAAGAGCUUGUAGGCGGUUUGUCGCGUCUGCUGUGAAAGCCCGGGGCUUAACUCCGGGUCUGCAGUGGGUACGGGCAGGCUAGAGUGAUGUAGGGGUAACUGGAAUUCCUGGUGUAGCGGUGGAAUGCGCAGAUAUCAGGAAGAACACCGAUGGCGAAGGCAGGUUACUGGGCAUUUACUGACGCUGAGAAGCGAAAGCAUGGGGAGCGAACAGGAUUAGAUACCCUGGUAGGCUCUGC
rnacentral:rRNA from 1 species